UACAGAGGUCUCAAGCGUUGUUCGGAUUCAUUGGGCGUAAAGGGUGCGUAGGUGGCAUGGUCAGUACGGACGUGUGAAAUCCCGGGGCUCAACCCCGGAACUGCAUUCGAUACUGCCGCGCUAGAGUACUGGAGAGGAGAUUGGAAUUUACGGUGUAGCAGUGAAAUGCGUAGAUAUCGUAAGGAAGACCAGUGGCGAAGGCGGAUCUCUGGACAGUUACUGACACUGAGGCAGCGAAGGCCAGGGAGCAAACCGGG
rnacentral:rRNA from 1 species